UACGAAGGAUGCGAGCGUUAUCCGGAUUUAUUGGGUUUAAAGGGUGCGUAGGCGGCUUUAUAAGUCAGUGGUGAAAUCUUGUCGCUUAACGACAAACGUGCCAUUGAUACUGUAGAGCUUGAGUACAGAUGCCGUUGGCGGAAUGUGUCAUGUAGCGGUGAAAUGCAUAGAUAUGACACAGAACACCGAUUGCGAAGGCAGCUGACGAAACUGUAACUGACGCUGAUGCACGAAAGCGUGGGGAUCAAACAGG
rnacentral:rRNA from 1 species